GGGGGAGACACUGCAGCCACCGCCAGGACAAGCAGCAUGUAAAAACUCUGGAUGCCAGCGGGAAGAAAAUCAAGCUUGGCCUGGGAUAGAACCUUCUGUCCUGGUUCUUAGCACUGGCAAGGCUGGAAGAUGCUCUGCAGAUACCUCCUGUGGAUGAAAUGGCAUGGAAGUCUCCCAUGUGAAGCCUUUGUGCAAUGCUGUAAAUUAUCAAGCAAGAUCAGCCCCCCUGGAAGCCUAAGGACAAGUCUCUCAUAUGGGUAAUAGUAAUCAUAGUAAGGGAUGACAUAGACAUUGGUGGGUGAUAUCUUGUCACUUUGGUGACAGAGGAAAAGCAUUUUCUCCAAAGACAAAUCCAUGAUAAGUUAUCCACUCCAAAGUUGUCAGCCAUGUACAUACGUGGGAGCAACAGUCACAAUAUCUGCAUCAUCAAUCUAAGUAAGGAAACAUCAAGAUAUACUUGAAACGCCAUGCAAAAUUCAGAGCCAAUGGAAUUCCCUGAUCUAAUCUGUGUCAAGCAGUGUUCCCUGUAAUUGUUAGCCAGUUCUCUAAGUUGACCUACUGGCAACAGAUGAUGAAACUAUACUCCAUGAAGGUCAGA